GUGGGGAAUAUUGCACAAUGGGGGAAACCCUGAUGCAGCGACGCCGCGUGAGUGAAGAAGCGCCUCGGCGCGUAAAGCUCUGUCAGCAGGAACGAUAAUGACGGUACCUGACCAAGAAGCCCCGGCUAACUACGUGCCAGCAGCCGCGGUAAUACGUAGGGGGCGAGCGUUAUCCGGAUUUACUGGGUGUAAAGGGAGCGUAGACGGCGGGGCAAGUCUGGAGUGAAAGGCCGGGGCCCAACCCCGGGACUGCUCUGGAAACUGCCCGGCUGGAGUACAGGAGAGGUAAGUGGAAUUCCUAGUGUAGCGGUGAAAUGCGUAGAUAUUAGGAGGAACACCAGCGGCGAAGGCGGCUUACUGGACUGUGACUGACGUUGAGGCUCGAAAGCGUGGGGAGCAAACAGGA
rnacentral:rRNA from 1 species